rnacentral:rRNA from 1 species
UAUCAAAUGAUAGAGUAAGAAAAACUCCGGUGGUAUAAGAUGGGCCCGCGUCCGAUUAGCUAGUUGGUGGGAUAACAGCCUACCAAGGCAACGAUUGGUAACCGGCCUGAGAGGGUGACCGGCCACACUGGGACUGAGACACGGCCCAGACUCCUACGGGAGGCAGCAGUGGGGAAUAUUGCGCAAUGGAGGGAACUCUGACGCAGCGACGCCGCGUGAAGGAAGAAGGCUUUCGGGUUGUAAACUUCUUUGAUCGGGGACGAAGAUGACGGUACCCGAGGAACAAGCCACGGCUAACUACGUGCCAGCAGCCGCGGUAAUACGUAGGUGGCGAGCGUUGUCCGGAAUUACUGGGUGUAAAGGGCGUGUAGGCGGGGCGUCAAGUCAGGUGUGAAAUUCCGAGGCUUAACUUCGGGUGUGCAUCUGAAACUGAUGUUCUUGAGUGUCGGAGAGGAAAGUGGAAUUCCCAGUGUAGCGGUGAAAUGCGUAGAGAUUGGGAGGAACACCAGUGGCGAAGGCGGCUUUCUGGACGAUAACUGACGCUGAGGCGCGAAAGCGUGGGUAGCAAACAGGAUUAGAUACCCUGGUAGUCCACGCCGUAAACGAUGGAUACUAGGUGUAGGAGGUAUCGACCCCUUCUGUGCCGGAGUUAACACAAUAAGUAUCCCACCUGGGGAGUACGGCCGCAAGGCUGAAACUCAAAGGAAUUGACGGGGGCCCGCACAAGCAGUGGAGUAUGUGGUUUAAUUCGAAGCAACGCGAAGAACCUUACCAGGGCUUGACAUCCCUCUGACAGGUAUAGAGAUAUACCAUCUUUUCGAAGCAGAGGAGACAGGUGGUGCAUGGUUGUCGUCAGCUCGUGUCGUGAGAUGUUGGGUUAAGUCCCGCAACGAGCGCAACCCCUGUUGUUAGUUGCCAUCAUUAAGUUGGGCACUCUAACGAGACUGCCGGUGACAAAUCGGAGGAAGGG